rnacentral:rRNA from 1 species
GACGAACGCUGGCGGCGUGCUUAACACAUGCAAGUCGAGCGGAAAGGCCCUUCGGGGUACUCGAGCGGCGAACGGGCGAGUAACACGUGAGUAACCUGCCCCAGACUUUGGGAUAACCCUCGGAAACGGGGGCUAAUACCGGAUACGACACAGCUUCGCAUGGGGUCUGUGUGGAAAGUUUUUCGGUUUGGGAUGGGCUCGCGGCCUAUCAGCUUGUUGGUGGGGUGAUGGCCUACCAAGGCGACGACGGGUAGCCGGCCUGAGAGGGCGACCGGCCACACUGGGACUGAGACACGGCCCAGACUCCUACGGGAGGCAGCAGUGGGGAAUAUUGCACAAUGGGCGGAAGCCUGAUGCAGCGACGCCGCGUGAGGGAUGACGGCCUUCGGGUUGUAAACCUCUUUCAGCAGGGACGAAGCGUAAGUGACGGUACCUGCAGAAGAAGCGCCGGCCAACUACGUG